UCCCCAGUAGCUCAGUUGGCAGAGCAAUUGGCUGUUAACCAAUGGGUCCGCGGUUCAAGUCCGUGCUGGGGAGCCA
rnacentral:tRNA from 16 species